rnacentral:rRNA from 1 species
CGGGUAGAGUAACACGUAAACAACCUGCCUUCAAGAUGGGGACAACAGACGGAAACGACUGCUAAUACCGAAUACGAUCCGAAAGUCGCAUGACAUUUGGAUGAAAGGGUGGCCUAUCGAAGAAGCUAUCGCUUGAAGAGGGGUUUGCGUCCGAUUAGGUAGUUGGUGAGGUAACGGUCCACCAAGCCGACGAUCGGUAGCCGGUCUGAGAGGAUGAACGGCCACACUGGAACUGAGACACGGUCCAGACUCCUACGGGAGGCAGCAGGG